UACGUAGGGGCCUAGCGUUGUCCGGAUUUAUUGGGCGUAAAGAGCUCGUAGGCGGUUCGGCAAGUCGGAUGUGAAAUCUCCACGCUUAACGUGGAGGGGCCAUUCGAAACUGCCGUGACUCGAGUCCGGUAGGGGAGUGUGGAAUUCCCGGUGUAGCGGUGAAAUGCGUAGAUAUCUGGAGGAACACCGGUGGCGAAGGCGGCAUCCUGGACCGGCAUUGACGCUGAGGCGCGAAAGCCAGGGGAGCAAACGGG
rnacentral:rRNA from 1 species